AGUGAACGCUGGCGGUGGGCCUAAUACAUGCAAGUCGAGCGGACACACAGUAAGAGUUCUCCUCUAAGGGUGGCGACUGGCGGGCGGGUGAGGCGUACAUAAGCAACCUAUAAUACGUGGGGGACUACGUAGAGACAGAGAUGCUAACAGCGCAUACGUCCUACGGGUGAAUGCAAGAGAGCUACGGACUUUGCGCGAUUGAUUGAGAUGAUGUCGGAUUAGCUAGUUGGCGGGGUAAAGGCCCACCAAGCCGACGAUCCGUAGCCGAUCUGAGAGGAUGAUCAGCCACACUGGAACUGAGACACGGUCCAGACUCCUACGGGAGGCAGCAGUGGGGAAUAUUGCACAAUGGGCGAAAGCCUGAUCCAGCCACACCGCGUGAGUGAAGAAGGCCUUCGGAUUGUAAAGCCCUUUUAUUAGGGAAGAAAAACAGCAUAAUAAUACCCCGCUGUUCUGACGGUACCCAAACAGUAAGCACCGGCUAACUUCGUG
rnacentral:rRNA from 1 species